GACGAACGCUGGCGGCGUGCUUAACACAUGCAAGUCGAGCGGUAAGGCUCCUUCGGGAGUACACGAGCGGCGAACGGGUGAGUAACACGUGAGUAAUCCGCCCUUCACUUCGGGAUAACCACCGGAAACGGUGGCUAAUACCGAAUACGACCAGUCUUCGCAUGAGGUGCUGGUGGAAAGUCUUUUCGGUGAAGGAUGUGCUCGCGGCCUAUCAGCUUGUUGGUGGGGUAAUGGCCUACCAAGGCUUCGACGGGUAGCCGGCCUGAGAGGGUGACCGGCCACACUGGGACUGAGACACGGCCCAGACUCCUACGGGAGGCAGCAGUGGGGAAUAUUGGACAAUGGGCGAAAGCCUGAUCCAGCAACGCCGCGUGAGGGAUGACGGCCUUCGGGUUGUAAACCUCUUUCAGUACCGACGAAGCGCCCUGUCGGGUGGUGACGGUAGGUACAGAAGAAGGACCGGCCAACUACGUG
rnacentral:rRNA from 1 species